GUGUGUUUUUGAAAGAGCUGCACGUUUAGUUCGUGCCAUUGUUCCCAGCAGGAACUCCCACACCAGCUUCUUUUGAAAUCUGACCAUUAGAGAUUGUUUUGAUACAUUCUUGAGUGCAAACAUAAAAGCUGACAUAAAUUGUUUCAUCAAUACUAGUUUAUAAUUUUAGUCCAAAGAUGUCUGAGAUAUUUGCAUACAUGAAACAGCUCUGAACAGAAGGUAAUUGUGCAUCUUAUUCAAUGUAUGUACCUGGCAUACACUGUUUAGAACUGAUAUUUGGGGAAGGAAAAGUCAAAUGGGUAGGAUUCUGCCUGGAAGAUUUAUGUGAUUUUAAAUAACUGAUUGAAUUUUAACUUGGUUCAUUUGGACUGAGAAAAAAAUGGGAUAGAUGGGUUUAUACCAGUUUUAUUGUGAUGGAAAUAGACCUCGAUUCAGGUGUUAUUUUCUGUACUAAGCUGCUACCUUGACUUUUGUCUUUCCUGGCUUACAGCAAUGGAAAGAGAAUUGGUGCUAUAGUGUUUGUUCCAGUUGGUAACAUGGGCUUGUAGCCAAAAAUCAUUUUGCUGGUCAACCAAAGGAUUUGCCAAUAAAUUAUCAAAUGCCUAGUUCUUUUGACCCUGAAACUAGUCAUUCAGCUACUGUAGGAAGAGCUCUAGAGCAAUGAAAGAGCAAGGUGUCCUUUGAUUUUACUAUCCCAUACAGUUAGGGAAAAAAUUAACUAGUUUCCCCCUUCAGCAGAUCAUAGGAAAUAACAAGCUGGUAUCAAAGUAAAGCUCCCCAGUAGGGCUAAGGAUACAGUAACAAUGUAACAAUAAAGUGCACUAAGCAAAGCAUGUUAAAUAAAAGCAAGCUCCGCUUUGGCAGGAGUCCUUGAAGUAGUGAACACAGCUAAAUCAGCCUUGGCUAAAAGACCAAAUGGAGUCAGCAAUAUUUUGCAUAAAUAAUACUCCCCACUGUAGUUCCAUUUCCAGCCUUGGAGCUUUUAAAACUGUGUCUGUCCUUUAAGCGCCUUCCUGCUCACAAGAUGAAUUUCAUUGAGAAACACUAAGCUUUUAAAACAAAGGAAAAAAAAAAAAAGGCAAACUAAAAACAGUGCAUAAAAGCCUUUUAACCUGGUGAAAUUUCAGUUGCAUAUUAUGGGUUAAGUGGAGGGAAAUGAAGGAAAAAACCACACUAGCAUUCUCAAAUGGCAAUGUUGUACAUAUAAGGAAAAUAAGUCACAAUUAAGAGGCAAUCUGCACUGUAUUUCUACAAGUAGUCCCUUGUAUAACAUUAAGCAUAAGGGGCUGAAGCUCAGACUAGCAUCCUUAGAAUAAGCUAUUUGGAUAUGUUGAAUCUCAGUGCCACUUCAGUGUGCUUCAUUCAUUAAACAUAAACCAGAAAAAAAAGUAUAACUCCAUGUGUAUACAUGUAUGCUUUGGGCUAGUGUGUUAAUGACUGCAGAGCAGUAUUGAAAGAAGCAGGCAAAAAAUGUCUCACAAAAACAUACCAGCUGACAUACCAGGUAACGUGGCACCAACAUUUCAAAGCAGCUCCCUGGAAUUUUCCAUCACUUAGCUGUAGCCAUUGGUGUUGCAUGAGGAAAUUCCAGGUCACCAGGAUGAUGUUAGUGAUUUUGUUCUGUAACAGUUGUGCUCCUGGCAGAGAGUGAAGAGGUAAGGAUCAUUAGUGGGAAGGGAUGACUUUCUCAGGAAUGUGUGAAUCAGUCUUCAAGACUGGCAGGGUAUGGAGAGCAGCGCCACAAAUGUCUGAUUGUGCUUGGUGAGGUAGGAUGGGGAAGUGAUGCUCACAGAAGAGAUAUUUGAAAAAUUCUUUUCAUAAGCUGAAUUGAGUAGAAGCUUGACUGAGGAGGAAUAACAGCUGGAUUUGUGAGAGAGCAUGUUGGAAGUAAUGUGUCUUAUGUGUAGAGCUAAAUAACAGAUAAUAUUUUGUAUUUGGAAGCGUGUACAGUCGGCUUUUUAAAAUGGAGUAGAAAUGUCAAUGAAGUCAAAGCUGCUAUUCAGGCUGCAAUAGCUGUGAGAGUGACAUGGGUUCCCACAAGUGGGAAAACUGAAGAAGAAUUAGCAGGCCAGCCAGAAAUGAUUUAGGCAGCUGUCUCAUCCCUUACCCUGCAGGAAGUUGUGUGGGGAGUAUUGUUUCCCUUAUUUCCAACCAUUAAAAUCUCAGAAGGCAGCAAAAUUUCAGGGAAGAAGUGAUGACAGCUCAGGGAAUGGAGUUCAUAAUGGAACCAAUGAAGCAACCUUAUCUUCAGCACAUAUUUGUGCUCCCAUAAGAUAUAUCUGCUAUUUGAUUUCAUCUACAUUAUUGAAAAACAGUGUCUCUUAAAUUUAUUUUUAAAGUAGUUGCUGAAACAAACAAUACAUAUGUAAUUGCUGGGUCAUUGUCCUAGCCAGUUACCAACUGGCAAGUUUUGAAAUAGAGGCAGAAGGGAAAAUAAAAUUUCCACAAGCUAAUUGUAAAAAAUGGUGUCAGAUUGAAAAGGAGAGACGCAGAUUCGUCCCUGAAGAAAAGACAGUCUGAACUCUGACACCGUACGUCUGCUCUGUGGGAGCUGUUUGCUGGGAAGCGUGUUUGCCUGCAGACUGCUUUCAGCAGAGAUUACUUCGUACCUGCAGAGUCCCUACCUGGGGGCAGAGGAGGAGUGAAGGGGAAGGAGUGAGGGAGGAGUGGUGGUGUUGCUAAGGAGAGUGUGGGCCAGAGAAGAAAAGACACAAAUACACAGAGAGAACCAGGUUUAUGAGUUCUGCUGCUCAAAGAACAUCUGAUUUGUGUGAUAAUAUCCCAGAGUAAACCUCUGGUUUUUUUCUCCCAUGGAGUAGGUGAAAAUAGAGCAGACUCCUUUGGAUUUCACCAGAGACCAGCACAGUAUAACUGAUCUAACUCUGCAUGAGCCCCAAAGUUUUUCAGUUUAAUACUCAAUAGCCAAAAUGAUCAAAGCUAAGAGUCUUAAGUUAGCCUCAAUUUAAGCCUGAACUUCUGUUUUGGCAGAGAGUGAACUGACCUUUUGGGGUUGUGAACAUCCAAAUUCCACACAAGUCAGCAUAUUUGAAAUUUGGUUCUUAUUUGUAUUGAAACACAGCUUUGAUAAUCUAACUUGAUGGCAACAGGGUUUAAAAAUAUGCACUGUGUGCCCUUCCCUUCAGGCCUCAUGCUGGUAUUUCUCAUUUCCCAUAGCUGUACCCUGCCAUGGCACUGAAAAGUACAUUGACUCCUAUUUUAGCUUUUGCUGUGCAGCUGAAUAAGGGCUGAACCUGCCAAGGUACAGGGUGGAGAGCAUGGAGCUUCUGUUGGCCUUUGCACUGCAACAUUUGCCAGGUCCUGCCACAAAACCCCAGACUUGCCUUUGUGUUCCCGUCGAGUUGCAGGAGAAGCGUGGAAUUCUGUUUCAUCAAGAUGCAGUGUCUGGUACAGCCCCAGCUCCCCAGGCAAGCGUCUGCCUCUUUCAUCCCCCUUUGAUGUGUAUCCAGCAAGAGUUGCCGCUGCAACACAACCAUGCCGGCUUUGGUCCUCCAGCAGCGGGGAGGGAAGGUCUGAGAGGAGAAUUCUCUUCAGCAUCUGAUCUUGGCAGAAAAUCUAAAGAAGCUGCAGAGGUACUAUAACUAUGCUGAAGGCUUUGAUGGGAGUGACAGGCCACCAGAUGUUUCAACAGCCUGAUUUGCCAUCAGAAGUGCUCAGUCAGAUUCUCUGGGUCACUGGACAUUGGCAGUGCUGGGCUGGUGUGCUUGUUCCUGGAACGGGGCAUCGCUGGACAGUUUUGGUCUGCCUGUUGCCUUGUUGGUCACCUUUUGGCCUCUCUGUGCUUGAAGUAAGAACCUCAGGCUGGCUGAAUGAAAGUUUCCUUGUAAGAAUACUUCAGUGCUAACGACAAUAACAAUAAGGAAACCAGCAAUUCAGUACUGGAGGAUGCUGCUGAGGAAACAUUGACAUAAGGGCAGCUAUGAGUAAUGAAGAAUUUUCAAUCGGUCUCAUGUUCCACCUUCAACAAUGUAAGCUUCCUUGACCCGUAAGAUGGAGGUGAGGAUGUCAUCUAAGCUUACUGGCAACAACUGUCUCCACAGGAACAAGAGAUACCUAUGGAAACAACUGCAAUCACACAUCUCACAUCUGCAACAUCUUCUUUCCACUCACAGAUUCCCACAGGGUACAGCAGAAAGAGAAGACAGCAAGUUCUCUGUUCUCAAGAUUGUCAUAAUGGAACUGUCCAUGGGAUGACUAUACAUUAAAGAAACAAUGAGAACUAACAGGGAGAAAAGAUUUUACAUCUGCCUCUGGAACAUCUGAUUCUGGUUUGCGUGGAGAUGGAUUAUUGGAUGAGACGAACCACUACCCCGGUAUGUCCCUUCCUUUUUAGUAGCUUCUGCACAUUGCUGGUUGGUAUCGUUUGUGUAACUCAAAAGUAUUUGCUGCAAACAGCUACUUGGUUUAUACAUGUCUGGAGCGCUAUUACAUUUAUCCUGAAGUCACCUGUGGUAUUACAGUAAUUACUGUCCCUUUGGCAUAUAAUUAUUUUACAGUGUAUCAAUGUAAAAGUAUAUGAAUGUGUAUAUAUUGAUAUGAAUGUGUAUAUGACUGUGAAACAGUACCCUUUAGAAUACGACACGUGCUUUAAUUAAUUAUGUUGUGCACUAAAUGUUAACACACAGAAAAGUGGUAAUUGCAUGCAAUCUCCCAAAGUCUGAAGUAGGAAUAUGACUAUAGAUCAGAAGCUGAAAAUUCUACUCUAACAUUAAAAUUGCACUGUAUUUCUAUAGUUAGAUAUGUUUGUAUUUCAUUAAAUAAAAAGGCUUUCUUGUUUCUCAGACUUCAGAAAAGAAAUGAUUGUUGUGUUUGGUUUGGAAUGAAUGAAUAUAAUCUCAAAUCUUUUGUUUGCAUCUCUGUGCAAUGUGCCAUUUUCUCAAAUGAAAGCUCAGUGUAUUUGCAGAGUAGACGGCAGAAGUAUGUAUGAUUGCCUCACCAUUUCUUUGUACCAAGCCUAGAUGGAGGUGAAUUAGAACUCAUCAGCAGGAGGAGGUUUUGUUUUCUUCCCAAACAAACCGUCAAAGAAUCCCA